rnacentral:lncRNA from 1 species
UGUCAUUCUCCCAACACAAGAAAAAUUACUCCAUAAUGGAGUUAGUACUGACGAUGAAAAUAUUCUUGCCCAUUAAAUAAAAAAAUAAAAAGAAAUAUCCAAAAGAAUAAUUCCCCUAUUUAAGUAAAAAUAGGAACUAGAGUAGUUUUCUACACCGGAUAACUGAAGAGACUGAAGAAGAGAAACUUCUGAAAAUGGAAACAAUUGUAAUUAUGAGCUUCCUCCUCCCUUC